AGAAACAUGGUGAAAUCGAAGGGU
rnacentral:siRNA from 1 species